rnacentral:rRNA from 1 species
GUGAGGGAUGACGGCCUUCGGGUUGUAAACCUCUUUCAGCAGGGAAGAAGCGAAAGUGACGGUACCUGCAGAAGAAGCGCCGGCUAACUACGUGCCAGCAGCCGCGGUAAUACGUAGGGCGCAAGCGUUGUCCGGAAUUAUUGGGCGUAAAGAGCUCGUAGGCGGUCUGUCGCGUCUGGUGUGAAAUCCCAUGGCUCAACUGUGGGCUUGCAUCGGGUACGGGCAGACUAGAGUGCUGUAGGGGAGACUGGAAUUCCUGGUGUAGCGGUGGAAUGCGCAGAUAUCAGGAGGAACACCGAUGGCGAAGGCAGGUCUCUGGGCAGUUACUGACGCUGAGGAGCGAAAGCAUGGGGAGCGAACAGGAUUAGAUACCCUGGUA